rnacentral:rRNA from 1 species
CCUACGGGAGGCUGCAGUGGGGAAUAUUGGACAAUGGGCGAAAGCCUGAUCCAGCCAUGCCGCGUGUGUGAAGAAGGCCUUCGGGUUGUAAAGCACUUUCAGUGGGGAAGAAAGCCUUGGGGCUAAUACCCUCGAGGAAGGACAUCACCCACAGAAGAAGCACCGGCUAACUCCGUGCCAGCAGCCGCGGUAAUACGGAGGGUGCGAGCGUUAAUCGGAAUUACUGGGCGUAAAGCGCGCGUAGGCGGUCUGAUAAGCCGGUUGUGAAAGCCCCGGGCUCAACCUGGGAACGGCAUCCGGAACUGUCAGGCUAGAGUACAGGAGAGGAAGGUAGAAUUCCCGGUGUAGCGGUGAAAUGCGUAGAGAUCGGGAGGAAUACCAGUGGCGAAGGCGGCCUUCUGGACUGACACUGACGCUGAGGUGCGAAAGCGUGGGUAGCAAACAGGAUUAGAUACCCGAGUAGUC